GCCCUGUUAGCUCAGCGGUAGAGCGCCUCACUAGUAAUGAGGAGGUAACUGGUUCGACUCCAGUACAGGGCA
rnacentral:tRNA from 1 species